ensembl:snRNA U1 U1 spliceosomal RNA
AUACAUACCUGGCAGGGGAGAUACCAUGAUCAUGAAGGUGGUUUUCCCAGGGUGAGGCUUACCCAUUGCACUCCGGAUAUGCUGGCCCCUGCAAUUUCCCCAAAUGUGGGAAACUCAACUGUAUAAUUUGUGGAAGUGGGGGACUUGUGUUCGUGCUUUCCCCUA